CAAGACAUAAUUUAUAGUAAAUUUUUCAUUUACACUGAAAAUAUAUUCGUGCGAUUCGAGUUGUUUUGA
rnacentral:tRNA from 1 species